GGAACCGGGAGAGGUAAGAGGUACUACAGGGGUAGGAAGUGAAAUCUUGUAAUCCCUGUGGGACCACCUGUGGCGAAGGCGUCUUACCGAGAACGGGUUCGACGGUGAGGGACGAAAGCUGGGGGCACGAACCGGAUUAGAUACCCGGGUAGUCCCAGCCGUAAACGAUGCUCGCUAGGUGUCAGGCAUGGCGCGACCGUGUCUGGUGCCGCAGGGAAGCCGUGAAGCGAGCCACCUGGGAAGUACGGCCGCAAGGCCUGAAACUUAAAGGAAUUGGCGGGGGAGCACAACAACGGGGUGGAGCCUGCGGUUUAAUUGGACUCAACGCCGGACAACUCACCGGGGGCGACAGCAAUAUGUAGGCCAAGCUGAAGACUUUGCCUGAAUCGCUGAGGAGUGGUGCAUGG
rnacentral:rRNA from 1 species